GUCCAACGAACUAAUUUUUUUCUUGAAAGUUAUUACGCACGCAUAUCCUCUAUUUUACACUCCCACAAAUGUUACUGGAAUUAUCUGCUGAUUCCAAUCAAAACUGGAUUUAUGAAAUUUUAAGACACUGAACUGUGUAUACAGGGCAAUAUUUCAUCAGAGAUAGCUAGGAGAAAAUUUGUUAACCGUCUUCAUUAUCAGCCUCAGCACCAGGAAACAACACAGAUGAUUCAUACAGUGCAACUCACCAAUCAGCUCUCAGCUGAUAAAUAAUUUUUACAAUCAUUAUUAUUAUUAUGAUAAAUUAUUAAUAAAAUACUCUAGUCUACUAGAUAAUGUCAU